CUAGCUCGUCCUUGCCGUCAGUGUUGCUCGCCGCGGUACGUAGCCGAUGUCUGCACAAGCCACCACAGCUCUCCACCCUAGCUUGCCCACGCAUGUAUGAGCAAGCAUAGCUACCUGCAAGUGCAAACCAACGCCCGCGUGCCGCACAGCUCGGCCUCACCUUGCCAAUGCCUGCCCUGCAGGUCGCCGUCGGUGCUCGUCCACGACUGCACGCGCCGGUGCAGAUCACCAUCGCCUCGCGGAUGCCCGCGCGAGCCAGCACAGCUUGCCGCGGAUGCUCACCCAGGCCUGCACGCGACAGCACAGCUCACCCUCCGCUGCUCGUGUUGGCGCAGCUCGCCCCAUGACAUGCUAGAGAAGUGUUCUAGUAGCGAGGCCGACGCUGAACAUCAGCACCAGCGGCGUGAUGGGAGCAGCCGCUGGAGAUGAUGUAUGCGUGUGCAGGUCUUAAAGAUGUUGAAUGCAAGUUAACAUGUACGUCUUGUUUGCUAUAAUCUGCACUUCAUCUUGGAUUGCAAUCUGGCAAUUACAUCAUGAAUAGCAUGACAUGUUUAGUUUCGUGGUGAGGAACAGCUGAGCAACAAUUCGACAGAUGAAUAAUGCCGCAAAUUAGUCCAUAAUCCACUAGCUUGGUGCACUAUGUUCUGAACUUCUCAUGCACUAGCUGUAGCUUAUUCAAAGACAGGCAUCCAGCGAUGGACGCAAGACGUUCAGGCGAUCGCCGAUCAGGUAUGGGGCAAGCACAAUAUUCUCAGCUGGCAACAUGCACUCGUCAACUUCAAGUGCUGAUCUGAUGCCCGAUUACUUGUAGAUAGCAUCAAGCGUACUUUGAUCCUU
rnacentral:lncRNA from 1 species